CCGCUCUAAUCCUGCAGCCGGCAAGCAAGCUCUCGGCAAACUCAGCCAUGUAGCUAGCCUUGGAGCUAACUACCUAAAACUAGCUGGACUGGAUGGUUGUUGUUUUCUUCUUUUUUUUUUUCAGGAAACCGACGACGAAAGGAGAGAGGGCGAAAGUGAAAGUGUCAAAUAAAAUGGUCACUAAUGACCGAAUACUUUGGGGUUUUUUUUCUCCCCGCUAUUGAACGUUGAGGACCCCCGUCGGACAACAAGCUAGUUAACCAGCUAGUUUAGCAUCAGCAGCCGCUCGUCCUCUUGACAGCUGUCACCCCGGAAGGCCGCGUACUGGGGCGGGGAUUUAACUUUCUCCAGCGUCUGGACUCACCAGCGGCAGAAUUGCUAAUGAUAAACUACCCUUUAUUUCAUAUUGAUUGGGCGUUUUGGCCACCCCUGAUGCUGUUGUGUCUACUCCAGUACCUCAGUUGUCUAUACCCAUCAAUAGUAAUUUCCAGAUAGUGCGAGAGGCUGAAGAGGCUCUUCUUAUUGACGUUCCUGUAGAUA